rnacentral:misc_RNA from 1 species
AGUUGAUCUCCAGAAGAAGAAUACCUCUGGCGGUACUUGCUAGUCUUUCUGCAGCCUCAGAGAAGGAUACUUAUCUCCGGCCUUUGCGGUGGAUGGAUCAUUACAGGUAGCCUCAAUGUGGUGGAUGCAUCAACAACCUUCAAAUCAGCCACCCUUGGAAAUCAUCUUCUAUUCCUAUUAGUGACCACCAGACCUUUGCUUUAAUCUCUGAAGUGAAAAUGGUUAGUGAUUCCUCGCAUAGAUCUUUUAAAAUUGAAAAUAUCUGUGUUCUGUAUGCAGCUG